rnacentral:rRNA from 1 species
GGAAGCAGCAGUGAGGAAUUUUUCACAAUGGACGAAAGUCUGAUGGAGCAAUACCACGUGAACGAUGAAGGUCUUCUGAUUGUAAAGUUCUUUUAUUUAGGAAAAAAAGCGCGCUAGGAAAUGAGCGCGCCUUGAUGGUACUAAUUGAAUAAGUGACAGCUAACUAUGUGCCAGCAGCUGCGGUAAAACAUAGGUCACGAGCAUUAUCCGGAUUUAUUGGGCGUAAAGGAAGCGUAGGCGGGGAGGUUGAUCCAUUGUUAAAGGCAUUUGCUUAACAAAUGUGUGCAUUGGAGAUCGCCUCCCUAGAGUUAAUCAGGGGGUACUGGAAUUCAAUGUGUAGCGGUGGAAUGCGUAGAUAUAUUGAGGAACACCAGAGGCUAAGGCGAGUACCUAGGAUAUAACUGACGCUGAGGCUUGAAAGCGUGGGGAGCAAAUGGGAUUAGAUACCCCAGUAGUCCACGCCGUAAACGAUGAGCAUUGGGCAUUUGACAUCUGGUCGAGUGCUGUAGCUAACGCGUUAAAUGCUCCGCCUGGGUAGUAUAUAUGCAAAUAUGAAACUCAAAGAAAUUGACGGGGACCUGAACAAGUGGUGGAGCA